rnacentral:rRNA from 1 species
UAAGGAAUAUUGGUCAAUGGACGCAAGUCUGAGCCAGCCAUGCCGCGUGAAGGAUGAAGGUCCUCUGGAUUGUAAACUUCUUUUAUCUGGGACGAAAACGGGAUUUUUAUCUCAAUUGACGGUACCAGAGGAAUAAGCACCGGCUAACUCCGUGCCAGCAGCCGCGGUAAUACGGAGGGUGCGAGCGUUAUCCGGAUUUACUGGGUUUAAAGGGUGCGUAGGUGGGCUUAUAAGUCAGUGGUGAAAUCUCCGAGCUUAACUUGGAAACGGCCGUUGAUACUAUAGGUCUUGAAUUAUCUGGAGGUAAGCGGAAUAUGUCAUGUAGCGGUGAAAUGCUUAGAUAUGACAUAGAACACCAAUUGCGAAGGCAGCUUACUACAUAUAAAUUGACGCUGAGGCACGAAAGCGUGGGGA